ACCUUCCCAUUCCCGUUCCCAUAGUAUCGUAUCUGACACUGAUCUUGGUGAUUGUAGAAAGAGGAAAAAGUAAUAUUGCACCUUGCUUCACAGGGCUCACAGUCUGCCAUGAAGCACAUGGGCAAUUUUUAAACAAGG
rnacentral:snoRNA from 1 species